AGCAGCCGCGGUAAUUCCAGCUCCAAUAGCGUAUAUUAAAGUUGUUGCAGUUAAAAGCUCGUAGUUGAACUUCGGGGUUCACCCAUUGGUCAGGCUUAAUUGUCUGUACUGGUGAGAUGAAUCUCUACCUUCUGAGGAACUUUCAUGCCAUUUAUUUGGUGUGAUGGGAAAUCAGGACUGUUACUUUGAAAAAUUGAGUGUUUAAAGCAGGCUAACGUCUGAAUACAUUAGCAUGGAAUAAUGAAAUAGGACGGAUUGAUUCUAUUUCGUUGGUUUCUAGGGUCACCGUAAUGAUUAAUAGGGAUAGUUGGGGGCAUUAGUAUUCAAUUGUCAGAGGUGAAAUUCUUGGAUUUAUUGAAGACUAACUACUGCGAAAGCAUUUGCCAAGGAUGUUUUCAUUAAUCAAGAACGAAAGUUAGGGAUCGAAGACGAUCAGAUACCGUCGUAGUCUUAACCAUAAACUAUGCCGACUAGGGAUCGGACGAAGUUAAUUAAUAAUGACGCGUUCGGCACC
rnacentral:misc_RNA from 1 species